rnacentral:misc_RNA from 1 species
AAGUCGUAACAAGGUUUCCGUAGGUGAACCUGCGGAAGGAUCAUUAACAAAUCAUAAAUAAAUGGGCUCGUGAGACUUGGUCAAACAGGUCGAUCGGGUUCGUUUGGCAACUGUGUGAACUUGGUCGAGACCCUUCCGUGUAUUAUUGGUUGGCUGGUGUGUCUAGACUCGACUGCUUUAGCCGGCAGUUGAUAGGUUGUCUGGCAUGCCGCUUACACGGUCGACUCGAUUCAAUUAACCUUGGCUUUAUUGGUUCCAAACGGUCAGUGAUGAGGCCAGUCCUUGUGACGGGUUCGAGUCAUUGUCUGUCAUCGUAGCUGUUUGUUGAUUAUAAUUGUAAACUAAAACAUUACAACUUUUAACAAUGGAUCUCUAGGCUCUU